AUUGAACGCUGGCGGCAUGCCUUACACAUGCAAGUCGAACGGCAGCGCGGACUUCGGCCUGGCGGCGAGUGGCGAACGGGUGAGUAAUGUAUCGGAACGUACCAUUCAGUGGGGGAUAACGCAGCGAAAGUUGCGCUAAUACCGCAUAUUCUGUGCGCAGGAAAGCAGGGGAUCGCAAGACCUUGCGCUGAUUGAGCGGCCGAUGUCAGAUUAGCUAGUUGGUGAGGUAAAGGCUCACCAAGGCGACGAUCUGUAGCGGGUCUGAGAGGAUGAUCCGCCACACUGGAACUGAGACACGGUCCAGACUCCUACGGGAGGCAGCAGUGGGGAAUUUUGGACAAUGGGGGCAACCCUGAUCCAGCCAUGCCGCGUGAGUGAAGAAGGCCUUCGGGUUGUAAAGCUCUUUCGGCCGGGAAGAAAUCGCACGGGCUAAUACCCUGUGUGGAUGACGGUACCGGAAUAAGAAGCACCGGCUAACUACGUGCCAGCCGCCGCCGUAAGAC
rnacentral:rRNA from 1 species